GACCGCCGCGCUGGUCCUGCGCAUCCGGGAGUCCAUCGCCACCACCACCUCGCCCUCCCUGCACUUGCGCAGCGCCUGCGCCCACACGGAUCACAUGUACACGAUAGAUGAACAGAGGAAGAAAACUGAACUUACUAGAACUAGUGGACACAUCAUGAGCAUCCUCUGAAGGUUUAACAUGACCCUCCCUAAUUUUUGAUCGGUGAGGAGCAAAGCAGUUUGCGCAUGCCCCUGCAAUCAUCGUAGCAGCUGCUUCCCAGAAUAAACUUGUUCCUCUGGCCUUCUUGUCAGACAUAUUGGAACGAGCUGUAUAGGUGGGUGUCCUGGAGAUGCCAGGUUUUAUCUGAAACUCAAGAUUGGACGCAGAGAGAUCUCCAUGGCGUGCUCCCUGCAUAGCACAGUCAAAUGGGGUUAGAAGAUGGCGUUGAAAACUUGCUCCCACAUAACAAGGUAGCACGUCCGUCUGGUUCUUUUCAUUAUAACUUUUGUGGACCUAAACGCAAUAGACUGAUUCAAGCUUGACCCGGCCCGUACCUCUCAAUAACUAUGAAAGGAAUGCUUAUUUGGGUUUUAUAAGGUCAAGCCAGUGAAGUCAGGGGUAUACGCAUGCACGAAAACUACAGCUCACAGACCAGUAAUUUAAUGUGGAUGAAGGAUUCAGUGUGUUGGUAACUGAACCAUAUGGGAAGCGCCUUGAGAACCUGAAACACGAAGCUGCUCCUCUUUUGUAGUUUGAGUUCAUCAGUGCUAUCUGUACUCAUCCAUAAGGCUUCCUUUUUCUAACAGAUUCCUGAACCGUUUGUGUACAAUGUUAUUUCAUAUUGCAGUGGAACCGUUGGUGGCCCCUUUUCUCUAAUAAACUGAACCAGGUUUCGUCU